rnacentral:hammerhead_ribozyme from 1 species
CUCCCACUGAGGAGUCCUACAAGAGGACGAAACGACCGUCCGGUGC